rnacentral:misc_RNA from 1 species
GAUGAAGAACGUAGCGAAAUGCGAUACUUGGUGUGAAUUGCAGAAUCCCGUGAACCAUCGAGUUUUUGAACGCAAGUUGCGCCCGAAGCCAUCAGGUUGAGGGCACGUCUGCCUGGGCGUCACAUAUCGUUGCCCUAUGCCUAUUGCAGUGCAAUAGGAAUUUCUAGGGCGAAUGAUGGCUUCCCGUGAGCGUUGUUGCCUCGCGGUUGGUUGAAAAUCGAGUCCUUGGUAGGGUGUGCCAUGGUAGAUGGUGGUCGAGUUAGAACGAUACCGAUCAUGUGCAUGCCCCCCAAAAUAUGGCCUCUAUGACCCACACGCGUCUUUUGACGCUCAUGACGAGACCUCAGGUCAGGCGGGGCUACCCGCUGAAUUUAAGCAUAUCAAUAAGCGGAGGA